AGUGAACGCUGGCGGUAGGCCUAACACAUGCAAGUCGAACGGCAGCACAGUAAGAGCUUGCUCUUACGGGUGGCGAGUGGCGGACGGGUGAGGAAUACAUCGGAAUCUACUUUUUCGUGGGGGAUAACGUAGGGAAACUUACGCUAAUACCGCAUACGACCUACGGGUGAAAGCAGGGGAUCUUCGGACCUUGCGCGAUUGAAUGAGCCGAUGUCGGAUUAGCUAGUUGGCGGGGUAAAGGCCCACCAAGGCGACGAUCCGUAGCUGGUCUGAGAGGAUGAUCAGCCACACUGGAACUGGGACACGGUCCAGACUCCUACGGGAGGCAGCAGUGGGGAAUAUUGGACAAUGGGCGCAAGCCUGAUACAGCCAUACCGCGUGGGUGAAGAAGGCCUUCGGGUUGUAAAGCCCUUUUGUUGGGAAAGAAAAGCAGCAGGUUAAUACCCCGCUGUUCUGACGGUACCCAAAGAAUAAGCACCGGCUAACUUCGUG
rnacentral:rRNA from 1 species